UGCGGGCCUGGCGUCGCUGUUCCGAACAAACUGUUUUCGGGCAGCCUGUAAAAUCCCUGGAAACGGGCUAUUCCAGCAAGGCCUCCUGAACCAGGAAAGCACCAGAUGUUCUUCGGAAACGGAGUGACGGGACGCUCUCCACCCGAGGCGGAGGUCAGCGAGAAGGCUUUUACACACCUCAUUGCCAGUCCUCAGAAUGUUCUUUUGAAGUAGGAACCAUGACCAUCCUUUAGGAGCCAGCUGAGGCAGAGGAAGGUUUGGGGAUGCUCUUCCAGAAGUAUUUAUUGUGCAUUUGUGCCUCAGCCAAGAAGUCCUGCUAGUGGCACAGAGGGAUAAGCACUCAACAACUGGUGAUUUGAACUCACCCAGAGGCGCCUUGGAAGACGGGCCUUCUGCUUUCUGACGGACAUGACUUUGAGAGUCCAAAGGAGCAGUUCUGCUCACAUGCAGGGUCACCAUGAUUGGAGUCAAAUCUACUGCAAACAACAAUGUAUUUGACCUUUUGCUGGUCCCUGAGGACGGAUGGUGAGUAUGAGCUAGCCUUUCUGACUUCAUCUCCUGCUCUCACCUUGCUCACAUGGCUCUUGGAACUCUGAUAGUCUCGCUAGUCCUCAAACAUACCAAGCACUUCUGCUUCAGCACUUUUGCACUUAAUGUUUCUUUUGUCUGAACAGUUCUUAUAUCUCACUUUAUUUGCUCUGUGCUUAAAGGACACCCUCACAAGGGAGGCCUUCUCACACUUUUUCUGCAAA